GCUUGCUUCAGUCGCACAUAUACUAAAAAAAAAAUUGGAAUGAUACAGAGAAGAUUAGUAUGGCCCCUGUGCAAGGAUGACACGCAAAUUCAUAAAAAAAAAAAACCCAAC